rnacentral:lncRNA from 10 species
UCAAAGAAAGGAACGAUGUGGACCUGACCUCAAAGAAAUCCAUUGGAGAAUAUGACAGAUUUAGAUUUAAUGAUCAACUUUACUUUUCCUAUACAGGUGGGAAAACAGCCUGCAAAAAUGUUAAGUAGCUUCCUCAGGAUCAAGUACUAUUGGAGCCAGCAUUGGUGGUCAAUCCUGUAUAGAAAUGACUUCAGUUGUAGAUCUGUGACCUUCCUUACUUACCUUCCUCUACCAAAGGAUAGGAAACAAUUCUAAACCAGGAGUUCUAUAAACGGGUUCAGCUGUGGGAGUAAAAUAGGAGUAAUUUCAUAGCUUCUCCGUAUAAUUGCACUGUAUCUGUAAGAGUAGAAGACGUCAAUCUUAAAAGAUUUGAGGAGGUUAUUUCCACACAUUAAAAGGGGGUCAACCAAAACCGCAUGGCGUACUACUCUCUGAAGCCUCUACUACCCUGCUCCUCCGUGUUGACAUGUGGUCAGGCAAGCCAGGACUUACUCACAUCAGCUACAUCAGUUACUGGGGUGGAGAAAAUUGAAGCCUAGAAAGAUCAAGAAACUUUCUCCAGGCCAUAAAUAGAGGAAUCAGGAUUCAAAUCAGAUAGACCCCAGGGCUUGUUCUCUUCAACACCACAUUACCCUACAUUAUUAUUCAAUUAUUAAAUAAAACCUUGCAUUAGUGGCAUUUCCAAAUGCAUAACAAAAAAAUAAAAAAAAGUAACACUGGUCAU